rnacentral:rRNA from 1 species
CUACGGGCCGCUGCAGUGGGGAAUAUUGCGCAAUGGGGGCAACCCUGACGCAGCAAUACCGCGUGAGUGAAGAAGGUUUUCGGAUCGUAAAACUCUUUUAUUGGGGAAGAAGAAGUGACGGUACCCAAUGAAGAAGUCCCGGCUAACUACGCGCCAGCAGCCGCGGUAAUACGUAGGGGACAAGCGUUGUCCGGAAUCACUGGGCGUAAAGGGCGCGUAGGCGGUUUUAUAAGUCAGAUGUGAAAGGUACCGGCUCAACCGGUGACGUGCAUUUGAAACUGUAAGACUUGAGUACUGGAGAGGCAAGUGGAAUUCCUAGUGUAGCGGUGAAAUGCGUAGAUAUUAGGAGGAACACCGGUGGCGAAGGCGGCUUGCUGGACAGAUACUGACGCUGAGGUGCGAAAGCGUGGGGAGCGAACAGGAUUAGAUACCCGUGUAGUC